CAAACACACGCCGCAUGUGUGUGUGUGUGUGUGUGUGUAUGUAUCUAUCUAUCUAUUUAUAUAUAUAUAUAUAUAUAUAUAUAUAUAUAUAUACAUACAUACACACACACACAUACACUGCUGUGUGUGCUGU